UACGUAGGGUGCGAGCGUUAAUCGGAAUUACUGGGCGUAAAGCGUGCGCAGGCGGAUUGUUAAGCAAGAUGUGGAAUCCCCGGGCUUAACCUGGGAAUGGCAUUUUGAACUGGCAGUCUAGAGUGUGUCAGAGGGGGGUGGAAUUCCACGUGUAGCAGUGAAAUGCGUAGAUAUGUGGAGGAACACCAAUGGCGAAGGCAGCCCCCUGGGAUAACACUGACGCUCAUGUACGAAAGCGUGGGUAGCAAACAGGAUUAGAUACCCUGGUAGUCCACGCCCUAAACGAUGUCAACUGGUUGUUGGGGGAGUGAAAUCCCUUAGUAACGAAGCUAACGCGUGAAGUUGACCGCCUGGGGAGUACGGUCGCAAGAUUAAAACUCAAAGGAAUUGACGGGGACCCGCACAAGCGGUGGAUGAUGUGGAUUAAUUCGAUGCAACGCGAAAAACCUUACCUACCCUUGACAUGUCCAGAAUCCUGCAGAGAUGCGGGAGUGCCCGAAAGGGAAUUGGAACACAGGUGCUGCAUGGCUGUCGUCAGCUCGUGUCGUGAGAUGUUGGGUUAAGUCCCGCAACGAGCGCAACCCUUAUCAUUAGUUGCUACGCAAGGGCACUCUAAUGAGACUGCCGGUGACAAACCGGAGGAAGGUGGGGAUGACGUCAAGUCCUCAUGGCCCUUAUGGGUAGGGCUUCACACGUCAUACAAUGGUCGGUACAGAGGGUUGCCAAGCCGCGAGGUGGAGCCAAUCCCAGAAAGCCGAUCGUAGUCCGGAUUGUUCUCUGCAACUCGAGAGCAUGAAGUCGGAAUCGCUAGUAAUCGCGGAUCAGCAUGUCGCGGUGAAUACGUUCCCGGGUCU
rnacentral:rRNA from 1 species